UGUAGCUCAGUGGUAGAGUACUUCUCCAGUGCAUGUGAGGCUUUGAUCCUCAGCACCAUAUAAAAAUAAAUAAAGAAAGGUAUUGUGUCCAUUUACAACUAAAAAAAAGAAAAGAGGUAUUCACAUACCUGUUUAUCCAUAAUCAAUAACAUACUGCUGAGUAAGGAUGAGAGUAAGUUAGGAAUUUAGAAGUACUGUAGUUAGAUAGCUUGCGGACCCUAUUAGAAUUGCUUUGUCUUGUGAAAGAGAUAAAUUAUGAUUUUGUAGGUUUGUUUGUAUGAUUUUAAAUAGUAAUUUAAUGCUCUAGAUGGUGUUAAUUUUUCUGUUUUUCUAGGUAUAGGCAGUGGAAUUUAUUUCCCAGUACUCUUAGGUUAACUACCCUCACAAAAAAGACAUCUAGAAACAUCUUGUGCCACAU
rnacentral:lncRNA from 1 species